GAUGAAUGCUGGCGGCGUGCCUAAUACAUGCAAGUCGAGCGGUAACAGGGGGUCUCACCGUUUCCUUGACACACCUAGCGCUUUAUUCGUAGGUUGUUGAUCUCGAGGGAACAGUGAGACCCUGCUGACGAGCGGCGGACGGCUGAGUAACGCGUGGGAACGGACCCCAAACUGAGGGAUAACUAGUCGAAAGAUUAGCUAAUACCGCAUAUGCUCUUCGGAGUAAAGCUUUCGGGCGGUUUGGGACUGGCCUGCGUACGAUUAGAUAGUUGGCGGGGUAAUGGCCCACCAAGUCGACGAUCGUUAGAUGGUUUGAGAAGAUGAUCAUCCAGACUGGGACUGAGACACGGCCCAGACUCC
rnacentral:rRNA from 1 species